rnacentral:rRNA from 1 species
GACGAACGCUGGCGGCGUGCUUAACACAUGCAAGUCGAGCGGUAAGGCCCUUUCGGGGGUACACGAGCGGCGAACGGGUGAGUAACACGUGGGUGACCUGCCCUCAGCUCUGGGAUAAGCCUGGGAAACUGGGUCUAAUACCGGAUAUGACUCCAUGACGCAUGUUGUGGGGUGGAAAGCCUUGUGCGGCUGAGGAUGGGCCCGCGGCCUAUCAGCUUGUUGGUGGGGUGANGGCCUACCAAGGCGACGACGGGUAGCCGGCCUGAGAGGGCGACCGGCCACACUGGGACUGAGACACGGCCCAGACUCCUACGGGAGGCAGCAGUGGGGAAUCUUGCGCAAUGGGCGAAAGCCUGACGCAGCGACGCCGCGUGAGGG